rnacentral:rRNA from 1 species
AACGAACGCUGGCGGCAGGCCUAACACAUGCAAGUCGAGCGGACCUUUCGGGGUCAGCGGCGGACGGGUGAGUAACGCGUGGGAAUAUGCCCUUCUCUACGGAAUAGUCCUGGGAAACUGGGGGUAAUACCGUAUAUGCCCUUUGGGGGAAAGGUUUAUCGGGGAAGGAUUAGCCCGCGUUGGAUUAGGUAGUUGGUGGGGUAAUGGCCUACCAAGCCGACGAUCCAUAGCUGGUUUGAGAGGAUGAUCAGCCACACUGGGACUGAGACACGGCCCAGACUCCGACGGGAGGCAGCAGUGGGGAAUCUUAGACAAUGGGGGCAACCCUGAUCUAGCCAUGCCGCGUGAGUGAUGAAGGCCUUAGGGUUGUAAAGCUCUUUCAGCUGGGAAGAUAAUGACGGUACCAGCAGAAGAAGCCCCGGCUAACUCCGUG